rnacentral:ncRNA from 1 species
GUAUGAUAAUAGCAAACUCGUUGAAAGACGGGGACGCAAAGCUACAGGGGCUAACGGAUUGUCCAAUGCCAGCCAGCUGCCGAA